rnacentral:snRNA from 1 species
CGAUUUCCCCAAAUGUGGGAAACUCGACUGCAUAAUUUGUGGUAGUGAGGGACUGCGUUCGCGCUUUCCCCUG